rnacentral:ncRNA from 1 species
GAGUUUUAUGGAAGGAGAGAAGGUUAGCAUUCCCCUUGACAGGGACAGAAGUGACCCUUGGGACUAACAACAUAUAUACAGUCUUUUAAAAAAAGUUAUUUCU